CUACAAGGAUUCCCCUAGUAACGGCGAGUGAAGCGGGAAGAGCUCAAGCUUAAAAUCUCUGUCACAAAUUUAUUUUGUGCGGCGAAUUGUAGUCUAUAGAGGCGUGAUCAGUGUAGGUACUUGAGAUAAGUUUCUUGAAAAAGAACAGCAUGGAGGGUGAAACUCCCGUUCAUACUUAAGUGGCUUGCAUGUACGAUCCGUUUUCUUUGAGUCGCGUUGUUUGAGAAUGCAGCGCAAAGUAGGUGGUAAAUUCCAUCUAAAGCUAAAUAUUGGUGCGAGACCGAUAGCGAACAAGUACCGUGAGGGAAAGAUGAAAAGAACUCUGAAAAGAGAGUUAAAGAGUACCUGAAACUGCUGAAAGGGAACCGAAUCGUUUCUAGUGUCUAUAAUCUAUGACAUAUUCCAUUGGGAAGUGUGUGCGUGUGUAUACUAUGGCAGCGGCUUUUUUUAGUUGCGCUUGGUGUGCGUGCUGUAUGUGUUUUCUGGUGCCCUGUGUUAUAGUGUGACGUCAAGGUCAGUUUGUAUGCUGCGGGAAAUGGCUACUAGGGAGGUAGGGCUCACGCUUGCGUUUGUCUAUUAUAUCUUGGUAGUUGUGUCGUGGUUGAGACUGAGGUGUUCUACAACGUGCUUAUGAGUGGGUCUGUGUCUCCGUGUGCGCCGUGUGCAGAUAGCUUGCUAUGUGUGUGUGGUGGUGUGUGGAUUGAUGCGGGCUUUAACUUGUCGCCGUUCGGGACUUUGGCGAAAUAGAGCGAUUUGACCCGUCUUGAAACACGGACCAAGGAGUCUAACAUAUGUGCAAGUGUUAGGGUGUGGAAACCCCAGCGCGAAAUGAAAGUAAAGGAUGCUGAAAAGUAUCUGAGGUAGGAAAUACUAUGGACUUCGGUUUAUGGUGUGGCACUAUCGACCGAUCAUGAACCCUCGUGGUGAAAGAUUUGAGUUUGAGCACAUAUGUUGGUACCCGAAAGAUGGUGAACUAUGCCUGAGUAGGGUGAAGCCAGGGGAAACUC
rnacentral:rRNA from 1 species